rnacentral:rRNA from 1 species
AUUGAACGCUGGCGGCAUGCCUUCCACAUGCAAGUCGAACGGCAGCACGGGGGCAAUCCUGGUGGCGAGUGGCGAACGGGUGAGUAAUAUAUCGGAACGUGCCCAGUCGUGGGGGAUAACGUAGCGAAAGCUACGCUAAUACCGCAUACGAUCUAUGGAUGAAAGCGGGGGAUCGCAAGACCUCGCUCGAUUGGAGCGGCCGAUAUAGGAGUAGGUAGUUGGUGAGGUAAAGGCUCACCAAGCCGACGAUCUGUAGCUGGUCUGAGAGGACGACCAGCCACACUGGGACUGAGACACGGCCAAGACUCCUACGGGAGGCAGCAGGGGGGAAUUUUGGACAAUGGGCGCAAGCCUGAUCCAGCAAUGCCGCGUGCAGGAUGAAGGCCUUCGGGUUGUAAACUGCUUUUGUACGGAACGAAACGGCGAGCUCUAAUACAGUUUGCUAAUGACGGUACCGUAAGAAUAAGCACCGGCUAACUACGUGCCAGCCGCCGCUGUAA